UGGGGGAGGAGGAUUACAUCCUUGUUUUCCUCUCCCAAAUGCACUACCAGGUUUCGAGGGGGAGGGGUUUAACCCCCCCCCCCCCCUUCUGCAGCCAUUGUGUACCUUCAUGUUAACCUCAUGUUCUUGUUCGAAAACUCUUGUUUCUCGUGCAACACGCUGCAGCAAAAACAAAGGAAUCCCAAGGUCCUCAAGCUUCGGGUAACACUGUAGGCCCUCAAAUGGGUGAGUUAUGACAUCAACCAGAACAGGUCCAGCAGGAGACCUGUACUCCCUAGGCAAGACAAAAAAAAAGGAG